rnacentral:miRNA from 1 species
UAGCCAAGGAUGACUUGCUAC